UACUGGGCGUAAGCGCGCGUAGGUGGCUUGAUAAGCCGGUUGUGAAGCCCCGGGCUCAACCUGGGAACGGCAUCCGGAACUGUCAGGCUAGAGUGCAGGAGAGGAAGGUAGAAUUCCCGGUGUAGCGGUGAAUGCGUAGAGAUCGGGAGGAAUACCAGUGGCGAAGGCGGCCUUCUGGACUGACACUGACACUGAGGUGCGAAAGCGUGGGUAGCAAACAGGAUUAGAUACCCUGGUAGUCCACGCCGUAAACGAUGUCGACUAGCCGUUGGGUUCUUGAGAACUUUGUGGCGCAGUUAACGCGAUAAGUCGACCGCCUGGGGGAGUACGGCCGCAAGGUUAAACUCAAAUGAAUUGACGGGGCCGCACAAGCGGUGGAGCAUGUUGUUUAUUCGAUGCACGCGAAGAACUUUACCUACCCUUUGACAUCGUGCGAACUUGGUAAGAUACUUGUGGCUCGGGACCACAACAGUCUGCAGGCUGUCUCACUCGGGUGUGAAAGUGGGUAAUCCGUACGGGCAACCUUUUCCUUUUGC
rnacentral:rRNA from 1 species